GUCAGACUCCUCUUCAAAUACCUGAAAGCAAUUUCACAGUUCCACUGGUGAAGAGUAUUGUCUCCUUCUUUUGCUCUAACUGCGACUCUUUUCCAUGGUGCUUCCUCCAUUUUGCUUAUUUUUUUCCUCAGCAUUCUCUGCUUUGUCUUGAUGUUCUUCCACCUCCAGUGCCGCUCAUGGUGACGGCUGCUUGAGAGUUCUGUCUCAGUGCUCUACAUUUUCUCUUAUAGCCUUAAGCGUGGCAACUUGCUGCUCCAGUUCUCACACUUUUUCUUCCCACACUACUACCAGUUUGCACUUGCUGUUAUGUGUCCGCUGUGUUGUACACACAAGCUCUGCACAGACUUUACAGGUUACCACCACUGAUGGGGAUCAAUCACUGUUACCUUUUUUACUUUCUUCCGUUUGUCUGUGAGUGCCCUUUCUUUUGUCUUACCUGCCUUGAAGGAUGCUGGGAAUCCACUAAUAUAUACCCGUAACUAAACCAGAAAACAAGCUUAUUUCUUUUACAAUAUUGAUGAGAAAAUGCUUAUAGCUAUGGAUGAGGGUGGGGCAAGACAUCAUUUGAAAGGAGCCUGUGCUUUAUAUGGACAAAAGGGUGUGGCUUAGGAACCAAAUGAUGGGAAAAGAAAAUGUUCUUUGUUCUCUGGCCAGGUGAAGCAGGUAGUUUUACCGACAAGCUAUCCUUAACAUUCAAAAUAUAAAUGCACUUUGCCUCCUGAGUCCAAGGUAAAACUGCUUCAGAGACAACAAUAAAGAACAUGGCAUUCUGAGAAAUGCAGCAAUUGCCAUUAGUUACUACAGUCACCAUUACCUGAAUGCACAGGAAUUUGCUAAGGAGGAGCAAAAUGCAGAUCAUCUUUUCUUUUGUUACCAUUGUUGCAAGGAGAUCCUCCUCUGUGGUUUCCAGUUCAAGUGAGAUGUACAACCCAUGCUUCACAAUAACAAUUCAGUGAAUGAAGAAAUCCUUUCAUCAAAAUGAGAGGCUGGCACCUCACCAUCCUUCAGCAUCAGGCUCUGUGAUGUUCACCUUCUCAGGUAUCAGUAUGUUUUUCUACCAUUUUGGAUUCCAGGAGGGUUGCUUUCUCUAACUUUUCUAGCCUAACAAAUGAAAUUAUAAAUGACUGUAAUGGAUCUAAAUUCUGUUUCACAAAUGCUGAUCCCCUGCAUUUAAAAUACUGCUAAUGGAAAAU
rnacentral:lncRNA from 1 species